AGCUCCAAUAGCGUAUAUUAAAGUUGUUGCAGUUAAAAAGCUCGUAGUUGGAUUUGUGGUUCGUCCCGCCGGCUGGGUCUUUGACUUUUGCUGUGCUGGUCGUCCAUCCUUGGGUGGAAUCUGUGUGGCAUUAGGUUGUCGCGCAGGGGAUGCCCAUCGUUUACUGUGAAAAAAUUAGAGUGUUCAAAGCAGGCUUAUGCCGUUGAAUAUAUUAGCAUGGAAUAAUGAUAUAGGACCUUGGUACUAUUUUGUUGGUUUGCGCACUGAGGUAAUGAUUAAUAGGGACAGUUGGGGGUAUUCGUAUUCCAUUGUAAGAGGUGAAAUUCUUGGAUUUUUGGAAGACGAACUACUGCGAAAGCAUUUACCAAGGAUGUUUUCAUUAAUCAAGAACGAAAGUAGG
rnacentral:rRNA from 1 species